rnacentral:misc_RNA from 1 species
GAUGAAGAACGCAGCGAAAUGCGAUAAGUAAUGUGAAUUGCAGAAUUCAGUGAAUCAUCGAAUCUUUGAACGCACCUUGCGCUCUUUGGUAUUCCGAAGGGCAUGCCUGUUUGAGUGUCAUGAAAAUAUCAACCUUGACUUGGGUUUUGUGCUCUAGUCUCGGCUUGGAAUUGGGUGCUUGCCGCUUUUACGAGCGGCUCACCUUAAAUGUAUUAGCUGGAUCUGUCUUUGAGACUUGGUUUGACUUGGCGUAAUAAGUAUUUCGCUAAGGACAUUCUUCGGAGUGGCCUCGUUUCUAGGACGCUUGUCCGCUUUCCAAUACAAGUUCCACCUCGUGGACAUGACUUUUUAUUAUCUGGCCUCAAAUCAGGUAGGACUACCCGCUGAACUUAAGCAUAUCAAUAAGCGGAGGA